rnacentral:rRNA from 1 species
GAAGCAUUGUUUCUAGAUCUGAGUAUAUCAAUAUUACCUUGUUCAGAACUUAAAGAGAAAUCUUGAGUUUAUGGACUUCAGGGGGAGUAUGGUCCCAAGGCUGAAACUUAAAGGAAUUGACGGAAGGGCAUACCAGGAGUGGAGCCUGCGCUUAAUUUGACUCAACACGGGAAAACUUACUAGGACCGAACAGUAGAAGGAAUGACAGAUUAAGAGUUCUUUCAUGAUUUAUUGGGUAGUGGUGCAUGGCCGUUCUUAGUUGGUGGAGUGAUUCGUCAGGUUAAUUCCGGUAACCAACCAGACUGAAACCUAUUAAUUAGUUUUCUGCCUAUAAGACAGAAAUGUUCGCAAGAAAAGGUGCGUAAGUUCCACUUCUUAAAGGAACACAUUUCAAUUGUCCUAUUUUAAUUGUAGGUAUCUAAUUUCGGAUAGACCUCUU